CAAAACUGUUUAUUUGAAAUAACAGAGGUAAGAUGUUCACCGGAUGAUGAAGAAAAAAAAAUAGUAAUGCGGAAGGAUAAGUACGCAAGACUACCGUUCCAACCUGAAGGAUGAUACUGAUAAAGGCCAGCUUUGCAAGCACGAAUUUCUGGAGAGGUCAGCUGACGGUUAUCAAUUAUUUCGAUACAAUAUUCCGAAAUCAGUUUCCUUGCAUAGCAUAUAGUGAUAACACAAGCUGUAUAUAAAUCAUUAGUGAACAAUUGUACUUGCAUAUAACAUUAUAAUAGGUUUCAUCGAUACAGUCAUUACUCAACGCAUUACACACUAUUUCAAUUUUAUUUAAAGUUAA